rnacentral:rRNA from 1 species
UACGGAGGGUCCGAGCGUUAUCCGGAUUCAUUGGGUUUAAAGGGUGCGUAGGCGGCUAGAUAAGUCAGUAGUGAAAGUCGGUAGCUCAACUAUCGAAGUGCUAUUGAAACUGUUUAGCUAGAAUUCUGAUGGAGUAGGCGGAAUGUGUUGUGUAGCGGUGAAAUGCAUAGAUAUAACACAGAACACCGAUCGCGAAGGCAGCUUACUAAGGAGCGAUUGACGCUGAUGCACGAAAGCGUAGGGAGCGAACAGG